rnacentral:tRNA from 1 species
GCUCGAGAAGCUCUAUUGGUGGAGCGGAGCAUUGAAGCUGCUUUGGUGAAAGUUCAAGUCUUUCCUCGAGCA